AUUGAACGCUGGCGGCAGGCCUAACACAUGCAAGUCGAACGAGUGGCGGACGGGUGAGUAAUGUCUGGGAAACUGCCUGAUGGAGGGGGAUAACUACUGGAAACGGUAGCAAAUACCGCAUACCAUCGGAUGUGCCCAGAGGGGAUUAGCUAGGAGGUGGGGUAAAGGCUCACCUAGGCGACGAUCCCUAGCUGGUCUGAGAGGAUGACCAGCCAAACGGGACUUGAGACACGGUCCAGACUCCUAGGGGAGGCAGCAGUGGGGAAUAUUGCACAAGGGGCGAAAGCCUGAUGCAGCCAUGCCGGGUGUAUGAAGAAGGCCUUCGGGUUGUAAAGUACUUUCGGCGGGGAGGCGUUACCCGCAGAAGAAGCACCGGCUAACUCCGGGCCAGCAGCGCGGUAAUUC
rnacentral:rRNA from 1 species